rnacentral:rRNA from 1 species
UACGUAGGUGGCAAGCGUUAUCCGGAAUUAUUGGGCGUAAAGCGCGCGUAGGCGGUUUCUUAAGUCUGAUGUGAAAGCCCCCGGCUCAACCGGGGAGGGUCAUUGGAAACUGGGGAACUUGAGUGCAGAAGAGGAGAGUGGAAUUCCAUGUGUAGCGGUGAAAUGCGCAGAGAUAUGGAGGAACACCAGUGGCGAAGGCGGCUCUCUGGUCUGUAACUGACGCUGAUGUGCGAAAGCGUGGGGGAUCAAACAGGAUUAGAUACCCUGGUAGUCCACGCCGUAAACGAUGAGUGCUAAGUGUUAGGGGGUUUCCGCCCCUUAGUGCUGCAGCAAACGCAUUAAGCACUCCGCCUGGGGAGUACGACCGCAAGGUUGAAACUC